GGGGGAGAUGCCGCCGGGAUGCGGGAUGCGGGAUGCGGCGGCGGCCGGGCCGGGACCCCCCCGGGCGGGGAGAUAAGGAGAUUCCCCCGGCUGAACCCCUCCGCUGGGCUGAAUUUAGCAGCAGAGGAGAUAACCAGCAGAUAAGGGCUGAUACCCUGGGAGGACAGCGGGAGACGGGCAGGCGGCCGAGGAAAGCGAGAGGAGCCGGAGGCAGCGCUGGGAAGGGCUGCCUAUCCAGAUGUGCCAGGUUCGGGACACUCAUCUUUCCUUCCUUUGCACAAUCCCUUUGGGUUUUCUCUCCCAAAGCAGCGAUUUCCUAAAGAUUCGUUGAAUUCCUACAGAAAAGCAUCUCUUUCCUUACUAAAAAGAAAUAAUUUUUUUUUAAAAAAGUCACAGAACGCGAAAAUUAAAUUUAAACAGAAUAAACCAGCGCAAGCAGCAAAGCAGAAAAGAUUUCAAGGACCCGUUUUGGCUUUGCUGCUUGCGGGAAAAAAGGUACAAAAGCAAUUCCCGUGGAUUGUUUCGGGGCGUGUGGCCGGAUCCAGCCUCUUUCUUUUUUUCGGGGAAUUAUCGGUCGGCGGAGCCGGGAACCGCGGGAACGCUCAUCCCGAAAUUCGGAGAGGUGAGGAACUGCACCGAGCCCAGCCUGGCGCGACCCAACAAAAAACCAGAUGGGACACAGCAAAGCACAGCGACAAAAAACAAAAACCCCAAAAGCCCAAAGCAAACCCAGAACUUUAUUCUGCACGCGGUAGAGCUUUUUUUUUUUUUUUUUUUUUUUUACCUUGCAAUUAACGAAAUCUGUGUGAAAAUAACCCAGGGGAGCAAACUUUGGCCUUGCCUCUCUCCUUUCCAGCCUCCAGAUCUGCCCCGGACAGGAAAAAAAUCUAUACGAUGCCAA